ensembl:lncRNA
GAGGCCAGCCACAGCUGACUGUGAAGCCUUCACCUUUGGAACUCUCCUGCUGCAGGCUUGAAGAUGUAGAGCAGUGGCGGAGUCUUUUUUUUUUCUUUCCUGGUCUGCUUUCACCUUCAGGAGCUGAUCUAUCACAUGCAUGCAGGCAGCAGUAUUGCAUGUCAUUACUCUGUGUGUAGUUUUAUUGGACUUUUCGGCUUCCUGGGAAGGAUGAUCCCUGGGGCCUUCGAGAAAGGAAUACAUGCAUUUUAAAACCCAGCUUGAAACCAAGCACCAUCCUGCACCUACUUGAAUGAUUAGCGGAAGGUUAUUAUCAGGUCGGGGAGAUAAGAAGGCACAUCAAAGAGAGUUCAAAAGGCCCUGCUUAACAGUAAUGACCCACCAGACAGCUCUGAUGACUGAAGAUCUUCACCCGUCCCAGAAAAGCCUGCUAUCUCUCGUGCAGCUCUUCAUCUUCAUUGGCUCAUCAAGGUGUGUAAGUUGAGGGUGACUUUCUUAUCUGCUUGCUUUUUUGUGAUUGAACUGAGAAAUUGGACUUUGGCUGUGUGCGAUAACAUCAGAUAAUGUGAAAUGGGUUGGUGGGGCUCUUAUCGUGGGAGAUUAUCCGUUGAAAAGUCCCAAAUUUGCUGAUGAUGCAGACGGUUGCUGGAGUCCCAAAACACUGAAGAGAGCAGCAAAACACACC